AGAAGAGAAAUCUGAUCUUGCUGAAACAUCUAGCCGAUAUUGCUCGCAGUAAAAGAAUUGAUGAUGGGAAUGCAAGGAAAAUGAACUUGAAGGAUUUCUACCUUCAGAUACUUGUAAACCCCAGGCUCCGUAGAAAAGUUCAAGUUGCACCGAUCCAAGGUCAUGAAAUUUAACUGAAAUAUGGUUUUUCCCAAUAUUUGUAAUAAGUGACAUGGAUAAAUUUAGAUAUUGAUUUAUCAGUUUUCUAACUUAUGUAGUACAAGCUGAAGUGCCCCGGCGUUGCCUGUGGAAUAAAAUUUUUUUUAAAUUACUUUUUUUGAUUUUUUUAAGCUUAUGUAGCGAGUGUCACCCCCUGGCUACCCAUGGGUUUACUCAAAAAAUGCCAGCCCAUUCGGUCCAACCGUCUGGCAGGCUAUAGGGAAAAGAAAAACAAAUGUCUUGUUUUACUAAAUAGAUAUAUAUAUAUAUGAGCAAUUUGUAAAGGAAAGAUUUUCUAAAAAUCAUUUUUGAAUUGUAACAAAGCUCUAAUUAUUUAAUUGUAACUGUAACUUUAUUUAACCCUUUUGUAAUUGAUGACUCAAUGACCAAUAAAAUUACAAAUCUUUUUA